rnacentral:tRNA from 1 species
ACUUAUAUAUUUUAAAUGAGAAUAUUGCAUUGAAGCUGCAAUGGUGGUAAUUUACCUAUGGGUG